rnacentral:rRNA from 1 species
UAGCGUAGGGUGCAAGCGUUAAUCGGAAUUACUGGGCGUAAAGCGUGCGCAGGCGGCUUUGCAAGACAGAUGUGAAAUCCCCGGGCUUAACCUGGGAACUGCAUUUGUGACUGCAUGGCUGGAGUGCGGCAGAGGGGGAUGGAAUUCCGCGUGUAGCAGUGAAAUGCGUAGAUAUGCGGAGGAACACCGAUGGCGAAGGCAAUCCCCUGGGCCUGCACUGACGCUCAUGCACGAAAGCGUGGGGAGCAAA